GCGUGGUAAUAGCGCUUGACAAUGAACCGACAGCAAGAAGGCAUCGUUCCGAGGAAAACCAGUUUUUUCCUUAAUAGCCAUAUGAAUUUAAUUACAACCUGCGUUAAACAAAGACAUCAUUCCAGAACAUUCUUACAAGACGCUUAGUGCUCCGAGAUUCUAAGAUAAAUGCGGCUGCUAUUGCCGUGCUCACAACUCUCAGCACAAACAGCACCUUGGCAAAUGCAAGCAAAAAAGGCGGCGAACCGGUUUUUAUACGGCGCCUCGUCUUCGCCAAAACUGAAGUUCCAGAAACAUCUCGAACCCUGUGGUCAGGGCGCUGCACUGAUUGAUGGAGGUGUCGACCAAUGGGAAAUUAAAGCAGUCGGCGUUCCAAAUCCGAAUGGGCCAAUCAGCGAUUUGAAGGCGGAAACACGGCUGGCACUGCGGAAAGCCCUUGAAUGAGUCACAGCCUCUCAAGUUGCUGGAAUUUUCUGAGCCGUCGUGAGGUGAGGACGCGCUGACGUCUUCAUCGCUGAUGGAACAUAAAUGAACAGUGCCUCUGAGAAAAGUGAAAGACGUGAAACGGUGUGCGUUGCAACAAAACAUAUCACCAUGAUACAAUUUUAAACAUAUUCUGGAACAUUCUUUCAGGAGGUAACAUUCAGUAUGAGAGGAGCUCCUGAAGUGUAAUUGAUACGAUUAUGCUUUCUUCCAUCUGGGACCUUAUUGUGUUCAAUUGCACAAUUGUAAGUAUAACCCCACCCAAGGUAACAAAAACCAUCUCCAAGAAUGAGCCUGAUCAACAGCUCAAAAUUAAGUAAAGAAAUUCAGCAAUUACAUUAUGC